UACGUAGGGUGCGAGCGUUGUCCGGAAUUAUUGGGCGUAAAGAGCUCGUAGGCGGUGUGUCGCGUCGGCCGUGAAAACCUGGGGCUUAACUCUGGGCGUGCGGUCGAUACGGGCAUCACUAGAGUUCGGCAGGGGAGACUGGAAUUCCUGGUGUAGCGGUGAAAUGCGCAGAUAUCAGGAGGAACACCGGUGGCGAAGGCGGGUCUCUGGGCCGAUACUGACGCUGAGACGCGAAAGCGUGGGGAGCAAACAGG
rnacentral:rRNA from 1 species